CUCCACUACAAUGACAAAUUUACACCUGCUGGUGGGACAGCGCCUCUGACAGCAAAGGGCUGCAGGCCCAAACUGCGAGAGGGGAAGAGCUGCAGCACCUGCUGACAGACUGAAUCCCUCUCUGAUCCCACAGAAUAAAACUGAAAUCCUGGAAAUCAGUAAAGAAAGCACCAAGCUGCUGAGAAGAGGGGAGGAAGUCCAAGGGAUCCAGUGGUCCUGGUUUCUUUCAUGUUCCACUCCAAUCUCACCCUGAUCUAAUUUCUAAUUUAUCAAUGGAAUACUGUGAUCUGGGAAGAUUUUAAACUACAGUUUUCAAAGUGUCUGAGACUAAAUCUGUAUAAAAAAGCUUUCACUGUUUUAUCAAUA